rfam:Firmicutes bacterium CAG:882 genomic scaffold, scf359
UGGCAUGUAGCUCAGCGGUAGAGCGGUCGGCUGUUAACCGACUUGUCGUGGGUUCAAUUCCCACCUUGCCAG